rnacentral:lncRNA from 1 species
CAGAUCCUAUGGCAUUCACCUCAUAAACGAAAUUGUAAACAGUCAAGGCAUAAUCACAUAUUCAUACACAAAUAUAACCCUGUGGGCCAAGCCUGAGGUUACCUCAUAUAUUCAGUAUUCAACCCGAGGCAUAGAGUAAUAGGAACAGAGGCAUACCUGAUGAGAGACCUGUUAAAAUUGGAAGGCAAGGCCGGAUUGGCGAAGUAACGUUUAGGGUUUGCG